UGAGGAAUCUUGCGCAAUGGACGAAAGUCUGACGCAGCGACGCCGCGUGGGGGAUGAAGGCUUUCGGGUCGUAAACCCCUUUUGGUGGGAAAGAAACACCCCGAUGUUAACAGCGUCGGGGCCUGACGGUACCCACAGAAAAAGCCACGGCUAACUCUGUGCCAGCAGCCGCGGUAAGACAGAGGUGGCAAGCGUUGUCCGGAAUUACUGGGCGUAAAGCGCGCGUAGGUGGCUAGAUAAGUCCGGUGUGAAAUCCCACGGCUUAACCGGGGAAUGGCACCGGAGACUGUAUAGCUCGAGGACGGGAGAGGAGAGCGGAAUUCCCGGUGUAGCGGUGAAAUGCGUAGAGAUCGGGAGGAAGGCCGGUGGCGAAGGCGGCUCUCUAGAACGUCCCUGACGCUGAGGCACGAAAGCGUGGGGAGCAAACAGGAUUAGAUACCCUGGUAGUCCCUGAGCGGGCUGGCAAGGCGCAU
rnacentral:rRNA from 1 species